rnacentral:rRNA from 1 species
UACAGAGGUCCCGAGCGUUGUUCGGAUUCACUGGGCGUAAAGGGCGCGUAGGCGGCCUGUUAAGUCGGACGUGAAAUCCCUCGGCUCAACCGGGGAACUGCGUCCGAAACUGGCGGGCUUGAAUUCGGGAGAGGGAUGUGGAAUUCCAGGUGUAGCGGUGAAAUGCGUAGAUAUCUGGAGGAACACCGGGUGGCGAAGGCGGCGUUCUGGACUGCAACUGACACUGAGGAACGAAAGCCAGGGGAGCAAACGGG